GACCGGUCGGGACUAACCCGUCGUUUCGACGGAGGCGAGCCGUCGAAGGUAGGGUCGAUGAUUGGGGUG
rnacentral:rRNA from 1 species